CUUAAAGAGGCGGGUGGGCAGUGGAGAGAGCCCAUCUCCCUACCCAGCGCUCGGGGUCUGGAGCCGGAAGACCCCUUUGGACCUGUGAAUCCUGAGGUUUUAGAAGCUGACUAGUGACGGUGGAGGGAAUGUUUCUGAAACAAAUCUAAUUUUCCUUCAUGACCAGUUCUUUUCUUAAUGGACUUAGCACUGAGGGCUGAAAAGAAAAAGCUACCCUGGAAUGCGAUUUACUCGGAUGUGAGACAACUUUGGCAGUUAUUGACAUUAACAAGAUGCAAUUUUCAGUCAGUUUUUG